rnacentral:rRNA from 1 species
AGAGUUUGAUCCUGGCUCAGGAUGAACGCUAGCGGGAGGCUUAACACAUGCAAGUCGAGGGGCAGCACGAGGUAGCAAUACUUUGGUGGCGACCGGCGCACGGGUGAGUAACACGUAUGCAACCUACCCUGUACUGGGGGAUAGCCCGGAGAAAUUCGGAUUAAUACCCCAUAAAGAUAUUUGAAGGCAUCUUUAAAUAUUUAAAGUUUCGACGGUACGGGAUGGGCAUGCGCAACAUUAGCUAGUUGGUAGGGUAACGGCCUACCAAGGCUACGAUGUUUAGGGGACCUGAGAGGGUGAUCCCCCACACUGGUACUGAGACACGGACCAGACUCCUACGGGAGGCAGCAGUGAGGAAUAUUGGUCAAUGGGCGCAAGCCUGAACCAGCCAUCCCGCGUGCAGGAAGACGGCGCUAUGCGUUGUAAACUGCUUUUCCAGAGGAAGAAAACCCCUGACGAGUCAGGGCUUGCCGGUACUCUGGGAAUAAGCAUCGGCUAACUCCGUGCCAGCAGCCGCGGUAAUACGGAGGAUGCGAGCGUUAUCCGGAUUUAUUGGGUUUAAAGGGUGCGUAGGCGGAUUAAUAAGUCAGUGGUGAAAACCUGCAGCUUAACUGUAGAAUUGCCAUUGAUACUGUUAGUCUUGAGUACGGUCAAGGUAGGCGGAAUGUGUAAUGUAGCGGUGAAAUGCUUAGAUAUUACACAGAACACCGAUUGCGAAGGCAGCUUACUGGGCCAUUACUGACGCUGAUGCACGAAAGCGUGGGGAGCGAACAGGAUUAGAUACCCUGGUAGUCCACGCCGUAAACGAUGAUCACUCGCUGUUGGCG